rnacentral:ncRNA from 1 species
UGGGCAGCGCGCGUCACCCAGGACGAGGAAGCCGGUGAGAAUCCGGCACGGUCGCGCCACUGUGAACGGGAUUUCCGUGAGUCAGGAACUCG